rnacentral:rRNA from 1 species
UUCGUAGGCGGUGUGGCAAGUCGGGAGUGAAAUCUAUGGGCUUAACUCAGAGGCUGCUUCCGAAACUGCCGUGCUUGAGUGUGGGAGAGGCGCGUGGAAUUGCAGGUGUAGCGGUGAAAUGCGUAGAUAUCUGCAGGAACACCCGUGGCGAAAGCGGCGCGCUGGACCACAACUGACGCUGAGGAACGAAAGCUAGGGGAGCAAACAGGAUUAGAUACCCUGGUAGUCCUAGCCCUAAACGAUCAGGACUUGGGGUGCCGCCCGUUCGGGCGUCGUCCCGGAGCUAACGCGUUAAGUCCUGCACCUGGGGAGUACGGUCGCAAGACUGAA